rnacentral:lncRNA from 1 species
AUGGACAUGAAGACAAGAGGACUACAAGCACAAUCUGGAGACAGCCCAGCCUGGGAUCAUCUGAUAUCUGGGGAAACUGAGGUGUGGCUGGAGCCCUCAGAGGCUCAGAGAUCCAUUCUAUGACUCCUGAGGGUGCCCCGUUCUCUUUACUGAUAGCCAGAAAUAACUGUCAUGGACAGCCAGAGUCUUUAAAAAAUAUGUUCUUG